rnacentral:misc_RNA from 1 species
AUGAAGCAUGUAAAUUUCUAACAUUUUGUUCAAACAUAUUAUUUUUCACGUCUUUGUUGAUUCUAAUUGCCAUUUGUAUCCAUAGAUACCGCCAUAUAUGUUUGUCCAUGGCGGAUACCAUGGCAACUAAAACCAAAUACACCGUGAUAGGAAUUUCUCUAGCAGUGUCUGUAGUGUUCACCUUACCCAAGCUGAUUUACUACAAAGUCAUCCAUAUAAAGCUAUCAGACGGCACCAUAGGACGUGUAUGUAGCUCAGACAUGACCAUCCCCGGUUCAGAAGUACUGGUUUCCGGUCUGACGGUUCUUCUAAUUAUCAUUUCCGCUCUGGGUUCCAUUGUCAUGACUGUUCUCUAUUGCUUGGUAGCACGGGUCAUCUACAAGCAAAUAAAACAAUUCAAAGGCAUGCGGAUUCAAAAAGUACGCUUCAGAAAUUUGUACGGGAAUCUAAGAGCAAGCAUUAUUAAUGCCUUUGAACGCGAGAAUGCAAGCAGACGUUCGAGCUAUGAUAGACCAAUGGUGAAAUUAGAAAGCGUUACAGAAGAAAAUCAACUUGAGAUCUUACAACAGGAGGUAAAUGUUGGUUUCCAAGAGGUUCCAAAAUGUGACAAGGGAACGCUACGAAAAAACCCGAGCAGAAACAGAUCAAAGAGCAAAACUAAGUCGCUAGCUGUGUACCUCAGCGCCAACCGGAAGGCACGACGGUCAUCAUUAAUGUUUUUCGCUGUUACUGCAGUAACGGUGCUUUCCUACAUACCGACUUGGACGUAUGCAUUACUGGACGCUAAGGAUCCGUCGCGAUGGUUUCAAAUGCCCUUAGUGACAUUCCAUUUUCUUGUGUUUUUACGUUCACUCAGUGUUUUGGGUUUUCUGACGCAUCCGUGGAUAUAUGUGUACUACGAUAAAGCUUUACAGAAAGAGAUAAAGAAAAUCAUCCGUCGGGGAUCAGGUUAUGAGGACUCUAAUAGUUUUUAGCAAUAUAUGAAAUAUUGUUUACAAAUAACGGGUAAAUCGAAGCCGUCAUCAUUACAGAGCAUAUCAUUGUAUCUACAGAUUCUUUCUUUUACCUCGCAUAUUUUAUAUAACAAAGCGAUACAUGAACAUGUCUAUGCCUCAUGAGAAAACUCUCUCUCUCUCGUCCUGAUAUUUGUAAUGGGGCUUUUUGGCGUACGUGUUUGGUGAUCAAACCUAUGUUAAAAGAGAAACCUAUCUUGUUUGGCUUUUUGUUCUGAAGGAUAAUUGAAGUGUGUUUAGACGGUUAACCUUUGACGUCAGUUUUACCACGAAACCACCACAAGACAGUAUAUGUUCACGCCGUGCGUCAAUAAAUAUUGGGUUUUACAUACUAGCAUAUGUAAUCAUUAACUAUGUACAUGUAAAUAUAUUCUUUUCUGUA